ensembl:snRNA U6 U6 spliceosomal RNA
UUGCUCGCUUCGGCAUCACAUAUAAUAAAAUUGAAUGAUACAGAAAAGAUUAGCAUGGCCCCUGCACAAGGAUGACCCGCAAAUUAAUGAAGUAUUCCAUCUAUUU